AAGAUUAACUAUUACGAAAGUAUUUGCUAAGGAUAUUUUUAUUAAUUAGGAAUGAAAGUUAAGGGAUUGAAGAUAAUUAGAUAUUGUUGUAGUUUUAAUUAUAAAUUAUAUUGAUUAGGGAUUGGACGGUAUUAUUUUUUAACUUGUUUAGUACUUUAUAAUAAAUUAAAAUAUUUAGGCUCUUAGGGGAGUAUAAUUAUAAGGUUGAAAUUUAAAGAAAUUAACGGAAGGGUACUAUUAGGGGUGGAGUUUACGGUUUAAUUUAAUUUAAUAUAGGGAAACUUAUUAGGUCCAAAUACGAUGAGGAUUAAUAGAUUGAGAAUUCUUUCUUAAUUUCGUAGGUAGUAGUAUAUAGCUAUUCUUAGUUAGUAGAGUGAUUUGUUUGUUUAAUUAUAAUAAUAAACGAGACUUUAAUUUACUAAAUAGCUUAUAUUAUUUUGGUAAUACGCUAAUUUUUUAGAGGGAUUAUUAGUUUAAGCUAAUAGAAGUUUGAGGUAAUAAUAGGUUUAUAAUACCUUUAAAUAUUUUGGGCCGUACGUGCGCUAUACUAAUAUAGUUAGCGAGUAUUUCUUUAGCCGGAAGGUCCGGGUAAUUUUAUUAAAUUAUAUUGUAUUAGGGAUAGAGUAUUGCAAUUAUUACUCUUUAAUAAAGAAUCCCUAGUAAAUGUAAAUUAUUAGUUUAUAUUAAUUAUAUCCUUACCCUUUAUAUACACCGCCUGUUGUUACUACCGAUUAAAUAGUUUAGUAAAGUUUUUGGACUAGUUUAGGGAGGUUGGUAACGAUUACUUAAAGUUGGAAAACUAUUUAAAUUCGGUUAUUUAGAGGAAGUAAAAAUUAUAAUAAAAUUUCCGUUAGUAAAUUAGUAGAAGGAUUAUUA